CCCAGGGGAGAGUGGGCUAUGGAGGAGCCUGGCUCGUUGGUCACGGGAGACCGCGCCGGUGGCCGAAGCUGGUGCUUGCGGCGGGUAGGGAUGAACGCCGAGUGGCUGCUGCUGGAGGACGGAAACGAGGUGACGAUAGGGCGAGGAUUUGGUGUCACAUACCAGCUGGUAUCAAAAAUCUGCCCUCUGAUGAUUUCCCGAAACCACUGUGUUUUGAAGCAGAAUGUCGAGGGCCAGUGGACAAUUAUGGACAAUAAGAGUCUGAAUGGUGUUUGGCUGAACAGAGAACGUCUAGAACCUUUAAAGAUCUAUUCUAUCCAUAAGGGAGACCACAUCCAGCUCGGAGUACCUCUGGAGAAUAAGGAGAAUGCAGAGUAUGAAUAUGAUGUUACUGAAGAAGACUGGGAGAGGAUGUAUCCUUGUCUUGCCCCAAAGAAUAACCAGAUGACAGGAAAAAAUAGGGGAUUGAGAACUAAAAGGAAAUUUAGUUUGGAUGAAUCAGAGGGUCCUGGAGCUGAAGGCCCCUCAAAUUUGAAAUCCAAAAUAAGUAAAGUGUCUUGCGAACCUGGUCAACCAGCGAAGUCUCAUGGGAAAGGUGAAGUGGCCAGUCAACCCGCUGAAUAUUUGGAUCCUAAGUUGACUUCUGUUGAGCCAAGUGAGAAGGCCACAGAGGCUCAUGUUCAGCCUGGUUCUGCAAAAGUCAUAGAGCUUCAUCAUAAGAAGCAGAAAGCCUCAAACCCUUCAGUAUCUCAGAGCAGUUUGGAGCUGUUCAAGGUGACCAUGUCCAGGAUUCUGAAGCUGAAAACACAAAUGCAGGAAAAACAGGUAGCUGUCCUGAAGGUGAAAAAGCAAACCCAAAAGGGGAACUCAAAGAAAAUUGUGAAAAUGGAGCAGGAGCUACAGGACUUACAGUCUCAGCUGUGUGCAGAGCAGGCCCAGCAACAGGCCAGAGUGGAGCAGCUAGAGAAGACUUUCCAGGAAGAGGAACAGCAUCUCCAGGGUUUGGAGAAGGAGCAAGGAGAAGAGGACCUGAAGCAACAGCUGGCCCAGGCUCUGCAGGAGCAUCGGGCUCUAAUGGAAGAACUAAAUCGCAGCAAGAAGGACUUUGAAGCAAUCAUUCAAGCCAAGAACAAAGAAUUGGAACAGACCAAGGAAGAGAAGGAGAAGGUGCAGGCACAGAAGGAAGAAGUGCUUAGCCACGUGAAUGACGUGCUAGAGAAUGAGCUCCAGUGUAUUAUUUGCUCCGAAUACUUCAUUGAGGCUGUCACCUUGAACUGUGCCCACAGUUUCUGCUCUUACUGUAUCAAUGAGUGGAUGAAGCGGAAGGUAGAAUGCCCCAUUUGUCGGAAGGACAUCAAGUCCAAAACCCACUCCCUGGUUCUGGAUAAUUGCAUUAAUAAGAUGGUAGAUAAUCUGACCUCAGAAGUGAAAGAACGACGAAUUGUCCUCAUUAGGGAACGAAAAGAAUGUCAUAGAAUUAGGUGCAUCAUCGUUGAGGCUUCUCUGCACCAGCUGGAUAUAUAUCCUGCCCGACUGCCUGCCACUGUGAUUUUUAAGAAAUCUGAUGAGACCAGACAUGCUCCUAUUCCUGGCUAAGACAUCUGCUUGAAUUGCUUUCUGCUUUCCUACUCUGGAGAGUUUGGACCUCUUUUACCCUUGUCCCAUGAAACCUGAAUCAGAACCAACCACAAAGAGUAUCUCUUCCUUGAUUCCUAUCAUCUGGGCCUUUCCUUCUCAGUUCUUACUAAGUGCCAGGUGUUGGGGAUAAAACAAAGAGACUGUCCUGAAGACCACGCUCCAGGGGCGUUCAAGGGAUUUGAUUGCCAGGCAAUGGGAGCUUGGGAUGGUCUGGAGGAUUAUCUGUGGCCAGGUCUUGGGCUGCUCUGAGAUAGAGCAUGGGACGGAGCCACGUGGGACAGAGACUGAGUUAGGAAGUCCUCCUCAUGAUCCUCCGUGUUGGCCGGCCGCGCUGCCAUCGCUGUCUGAGGCCGUGCUGGUACUCCCCACGAGGGCUGCUUCCGGGUACUUGAUAGACUGCUUCACUGUGUGUUGAAUGGGUUAUGUAUUUCUGUUCUGCUUUUUAAAUUUAUUGUUUUUGUUAUCAUUUGGGUACCUCAGAAGCACGUCAGUUGACAUUUGUUUUGGACAGGUUGGGUGUAACCCCUACGGCUGCCCCUAAAAGCCAAGGCAGCCUCCCUUGGAGAGGAUGGCCUGCCUCUUUGUGAAAACAAGAUGUCAUUUCCUGGAAAUAAAAUGUAAAGCCUA